rnacentral:rRNA from 1 species
UACAGAGGUCCCGAGCGUUGUUCGGAUUCACUGGGCGUAAAGGGUGCGUAGGUGGCUGGGAAAGUUUGAUGUGAAAGCUCAGGGCUUAACCCUGAAAUGGCAUUGAAUACUGCCUGGCUGGAGGUUUGGAGGGGGGACUGGAAUUCUUGGUGUAGCAGUGAAAUGCGUAGAUAUCAAGAGGAACACCUGCGGCGAAGGCGGGUUGCUGGGCCGACACUGACGCUGAUGCGCGAAAGCUAGGGGAGCGAACGGG